UAUUGAGGCCCUCUAGAUGCAGCCCCCAGCCACCACCAACGGCAGCCAGAGCGCCAGAAUUCGGCUUAGAGUUUGAUCCUGGCUCAGGACGAACGCUGGCGGCGUGCCUAAUGCAUGCAAGUCGAACGCACCAGCUUAGCCCAGGCUGAGUGGCGAACGGCUGAGGAACACGUGGGUAACCUGCCCCCCAGUGGGGGAUAACCCGACGAAAGACGCGACAAUCCCGCAUACGCCCCCAGGAAGAAAGCCACACCGCGCGCCGGGGGAGGGGCCUGCGGCCCAUCAGGUAGUUGGUGUGGUAACGGCCCACCAAGCCAAUGACGGGUACCCGGUCUGAGAGGACGACCAGCCAGACUGGGACUGAGACACGGCCCAGACUCCUACGGGAGGCAGCAGCAAGGAAUUUUCCCCAAUGGGCGCAAGCCUGACCGAGCAACGCCGCGUGCAGGACGACGGCCUUCGGGUUGUAAACCCCUUUCCGGGGGGACGACCCUGACGGUACCACCAGAACAAGCCCCGGCUAACUCUGUGCCAGCAGCCGCGGUAAGACAGAGGGGGCAAGCGUUGUCCGGAGUCACUGGGCGUAAAGCGCGCGCAGGCGGUGGGCUGCGUCGGCGCUGAAAGCGCCCCGCUUAACGGGGCGAGGUGCGCCGAUACGAGCCCACUCGAGGCAAGCAGAGGGUGGCGGAAUUCCGGGUGGAGCGGUGAAAUGCGUAGAGAUCCGGAGGAACGCCGGUGGGGAAACCGGCCACCUGGGCUUGACCUGACGCUGCGGCGCGACAGCGUGGGGAGCAAACCGGAUUAGAUACCCGGGUAGUC
rnacentral:rRNA from 1 species